GCACACUCGGGAAACUUGCUUGUCCUGUGCUAACGGACCCCUUGUUCCCACAGUGGUGUUUGAGUGUGACGGUCCCCGAGGUUCUGAAGUUCACACGGCCUCUGCGGAUACCCCCAAACAAGGGAGAGACCAUGCCAACCCAGGGACAGUGCCCCUCAGGAAGGGGACCUAGAGGCAUGCCUCCAGUGCCCCGGCGUCCGUGACGGCUUGGGCAGUGUCCUCACGGGUGUCCCGGCAGACUCACCACAGUGACCACGACCACCUCGAGGAAGAAGAGCUGGAGUCUCCUGAUCUGACGCCUCUCACCCCAGAGCCGCCACGCUGGAACAGAGACUGAGGAAGUCCCUGUUCCUCCCCAGCCAUUUAGGGACAGCAAAGAUGCUAUGACUAGAAUUCCAUGAGCUCUGACACGCAUGUC
rnacentral:lncRNA from 1 species